rnacentral:rRNA from 1 species
ACUCCUACGGGAGGCAGCAGUGGGAAUAUUGCACAAUGGGCGCAAGCCUGAUGCAGCAACGCCGCGUGCGGGAUGACGGCCUUCGGGUUGUAAACCGCUUUCAGCAGGGACGAAGCGCAAGUGACGGUACCUGCAGAAGAAGCACCGGCUAACUACGUGCCAGCAGCCGCGGUAAU